AUUGAACGCUGGCGGCAGGCCUAACACAUGCAAGUCGAGCGGGGUUUUCGGACCUAGCGGCGGACGGGUGAGUAAUGCGUAGGAAGCUACCCGAUAGAGGGGGAUACCAGUUGGAAACGACUGUUAAUACCGCAUAAUGUCUACGGACCAAAGUGUGGGACCUUCGGGCCACAUGCUAUCGGAUGCGCCUACGUGGGAUUAGCUAGUUGGUGGGGUAAUGGCUCACCAAGGCGACGAUCCCUAGCUGGUUUGAGAGGAUGACCAGCCACACUGGAACUGAGACACGGUCCAGACUCCUACGGGAGGCAGCAGUGGGGAAUAUCGGACAAUGGGCGCAAGCCUGAUCCAGCCAUGCCGCGUGUGUGAAGAAGGCCUUCGGGUUGUAAAGCACUUUCAGCAGGGAGGAAGGGUGUUGUGUUAAUAGCACAGCAUUUUGACGUUACCUACAGAAGAAGCACCGGCUAACUCUGUGCCAGCCGCCGCCGUAAUAC
rnacentral:rRNA from 1 species